GAUGAAUAACGCAGCGAAAUGCGAUAAGUAAUGUGAAUUGCAGAAUUCAGUGAAUCAUCGAAUCUUUGAACGCACAUUGCGCCCGCUAGUAUUCUGGCGGGCAUGCCUGUCCGAGCGUCAUUUCAACCCUCAAGCCCCCGGGCUUGGUGUUGGGGAUCGGCGAGCCUCCGCGCCCGCCGUCCCCUAAAUCUAGUGGCGGUCUCGCUGUAGCUUCCUCUGCGUAGUAGCACACCUCGCACUGGGAAACAGCGCGGCCACGCCGUUAAACCCCCAACUUCUGAACGUUUGACCUCGGAUCAGGUAGGAAUACCCGCUGAACUUAAGCAUAUCAAUAAGCGGAGGA
rnacentral:misc_RNA from 1 species